CUCCCAGAAGACAGAGACCACUUGGCCAUUUUCAGUACUGAACUUGGACCCUCCAAGUCACCUGGCACAGGAAAUACAAGCGGCCACAUAUAGUCAAGACAAUCCUGAAGGGGAGCAACCUUGGAGGGCUUCCACUACCAGAUAUGAAGCCUUAGUAAAAAGCUACAGUCAUCAGGGCAGUGUGCUAUUGUAGCAAAAGGACAGCCGCAAGGAGAAGGAGAAAGAAUAGAGAGUCCUCCUGAGACCCACACAUACAAAUAUUUGUAUGUGACAGAAGAGGCAGGCAGAGCAGUGGGGAGAAUAUAGUCUUCUCUGUAAAUGGCACAGGGGCACUCGUUAUCCAUAUGGGAAAGAAAUUCAUCUUGACUCCUACCUCAUGUCAUAAAAACAUUCAAUUUCAGGUGGAUUUUACAUCCAAAUGUGGACAUUUAAAACAAUGACAUUUGUAGUAGAUAACACAGGAGAGUAUUUUCAUGACUUUGGGGCAGGGAAAGAUUUCCUAGAUAGGUCACAGUGUAUACUAAACAUAAAGACAAAAAUUAAUAAAUUGGACCUUAUUACAAUUAAGAACUUUUCUUCAUCAUAAGACACCUCCAAGAGAGUAAGAAGGCAAGAACAGAAUGGGAAUAAACACUUGCCAUAUUUUAUCUGGAAAAAACCUUAUACAGGAUAUCUAACUAACUCCCACAAAUUAUUAAGAAAAAAGACAAUCUCCCAG